GGGUAAUAUAACUGUUUCUGUGCCAUCUAUUAUAACUGUUUCUGUGCCAUCUAUUUAGUUUUGUCCCUCAAUACUUGGUGGUUACUAAUUAGUUUUUUUUUCCUAUGAAUUUCUGGUAGGUUCCAGCUGCUGAAGUAUUCUUAUCUCGUUUGUGACUUGGCUCCAGUUUAAAUAUUCAGGCUAUAGCUUUUACCUCCUCAAGAACUCCUCUCCUCCAGUGUGAACUCGGCAUGCAACACUGAGAAGCUAGCAUCUUCGCUCACAAUUCGAAAUCAGCAACCAAUUACUGUGCUUUCUAAAGCAAAAAAUAGAUGUCAUAUUUGGCUUGGGACUGCCCCGGGUCUGACAAAAAUGAUGGCAAUAAUUUAACUCUUUGACGAUUUCAAAUACUUCUUGCGCUCCCCAAACUGCUUACAAUAUCUCUGUACUCCUUAACAUUUGGGUUACAUUUCCUACUUGAGUGUGAGUCCUCUUUAAUACUUAGGCUACAUAUGCUAUCUGGGCUGUUUUGUACGAACUGACCCGUUACGAUCUUAUUAGGUUACACCUGGAAAAAAUAUAGAAAUUUAUAAAACUUUAACUCUGACCUUCCUUUAUCCAUUUUCCUAUCAGAUCUUAUAAAAUUUACAUACUAUUUUUAAUUUCUCUGCACUUCAAAACAUCUACUACUACCAUAAUAAUUACCAGUAAGAUUACAAAGGAAUUAUGCGCGCGCAACGCGCGCGCAAUCCACUAGUAAAAAUAAAAAAUAAUUGAAAUUUUU